rnacentral:lncRNA from 1 species
UCAGGUACUUAAAAGUCAGAAGUUACCCAUGGGCACGUUUGUAGAUUCCUCAGCAGAAACCCAAAUUAGGCGAUGAAUCGUAUCAGCCAAAAACCUCAGGGAACUAGAUAUGCCAGGACUCUUAGACAAAUUUUAUAGUAUUUUAAAUACUAUUUAAGGUAGGUCAUCUUUUUGAUGACCUGCCAUUUGGUCUCUGGCUUGGGAUAAUACCCACAUUUAGAGUGGAAUCAAAGCGCUCCUGGGGGAGGCUGUCCCUCUCGCUGUGACUCAGUAGGAGUGAGUACAGCUCUCUCCCUUCCACAUCUGGAGCAGGAAUUCCAGAAGGAAGGACGUAACCUCCAGAUUUAACCGGAAGACUCAGAUAGGGGACCUUGCAAGUACUGACCAGCAAUUCGGUCUAAGCGUGGUGGAAUACAAGUUUUACGGCAGAAGAUAUGAUGGCGUCUUGGGUUUGAACCAACCCAACAUGUCCUCUCUGGAGCCAUCCCCGUAUUUGACAAGCUGAAGAAUGAAGGUGCCAUUUCUGAAUCUGCUUUUGCCUUCUACUUGAGCAAGUGAGUUUGAGAUGGACAAUUCCUUUCUCCAAAAUAGCUGUGAGAUGCUUUCAGUUGCACAAAAAUUAUAGAACACUUGAUAAAGAAGUAUCCUGAGA